rnacentral:rRNA from 1 species
UCGGGAAUUUUGGGCAAUGGGCGAAAGCCUGACCCAGCAACGCCGCGUGAAGGAUGAAGUAUUUCGGUAUGUAAACUUCGAAAGAAUAGGAAGAAUAAAUGACGGUACUAUUUAUAAGGUCCGGCUAACUACGUGCCAGCAGCCGCGGUAAUACGUAGGGACCAAGCGUUGUUCGGAUUUACUGGGCGUAAAGGGCGCGUAGGCGGCAAUUCAAGUCAUCUGUGAAAUCUCCGGGCUUAACUCGGAACGGUCAGAUGAUACUGCUUUGCUAGAGUGCAGAAGGGGCAUUCGGAAUUCUUGGUGUAGCGGUGAAAUGCGUAGAUAUCAAGAGGAACACCUGAGGUGAAGACGGGUUGCUGGGCUGACACUGACGCUGAGGCGCGAAAGCCAGGGGAGCAAACGGGGAUUAGAUACCCACGUAGUCCCUGAGCGGGCUGGCAAGGCGCAU